UUUUCUUCGGAAAAGGUGCUGGCGACCGGAGAACGGGUGAGUAACACGUAGCUAACCUACCCCGAGGAUGGGGAUAACCCUCCGAAAGGGGGGCUAAUACCCAAUAAAGAGUCCUAUGUAAUGAUGGGACUCCAAAGGCCUACGGGCGCCUCGGGAUGGGGCUGCGUCCCAUCAGCUAGUUGGUGAGGUAACGGCUCACCAAGGCUACGACGGGUAGCCGGCCUGAGAGGGUGGCCGGCCACAGUGGGACUGAGACACGGCCCGCACCCCUACGGGGGGCAGCAGUGGGGAAUAUUGGGCAAUGGCCGAAAGGCUGACCCAGCGACGCCGCGUGGUGGAAGAAGCCCUUCGGGGUGUAAACACCUGUCAGGGGGGAAGAUAAUGACGGUACCCCCAGAGGAAGGGACGGCUAACUACGUGCCAGCAGCCGCGGUAAUACGUAGGUCCCGAACGUUGCGCGAAAUUACUGGGCGUAAAGGGUCCGUAGGCGGUCUGGUAAGUGGAAGGUGAAAGCCCGGGGCUCAACUCCGGAAUUGCCUUCCAAACUGCCGGACUUGAGGCA
rnacentral:rRNA from 1 species